rnacentral:rRNA from 1 species
CCUACGGGGGGGGGCUUAGGCAUGUUAGUUUGUGUCUUCAGCUAUGGUGAAGAUACGGCGGACGGCUCAGUAACACGUAGCUAAUCUGCCCUCGGGACGGAGAUAACCCCGGGAAACUGGGGCUAAUACCCGAUAGGUGAGAAGGCCUGGAAUGGUUUCUCUCUCAAAGGAUGAUGGAACCAUGCAUACGUCAUCGCCCGAGGAUGGGGCUGCGGCCGAUCAGGUAGUUGGUGAGGUAACGGCUCACCAAGCCAGUAACCGGUACGGGCCGUGAGAGCGGGAGCCCGGAGAUGGGCACUGAGACAAGGACCUAGGCCCUACGGGGCGCAGCAGUCGCGAAAACUCCGCAAUGCGCGAAAGCGUGACGGGGUUACUCCGAGUGCUGUCCGCUGAGGAUAGCUUUUCUCCGGUGUAAUGAGUCGGAGGAAUAAGGGGAGGGCAAGACUGGUGUCAGCCGCCGCGGUAAUACCAGCUCCCCGAGUGGUAGGGACGAUUAUUGGGCUUAAAGCGUCCGUAGCUGGCUUGACAAGUCUCUCGUUAAAUCCAGCGACCUAAUCGCUGGGCUGCGGGAGAUACUGCCAGGCUAGGGGGCGGAAGAGGUCGACGGUAUUCUCGGGGUAGGGGUGAAAUCCUAUAAUCCUGAGAAGACCACCAGUGGCGAAGGCGGUCGGCUAGAACGCGCUCGACGGUGAUGGACGAAAGCUGGGGUAGCAAACCGGAUUAGAUACCCGGGUAGUCCCAGCUGUAAACGAUGCGGGCUAGGUGUCGGAGUGGAUACGAACCGCUUCGGUGCCGCAGGGAAACUGUUAAGCCCGCCGCCUGGGAAGUACGGUCGCAAGGCUGAAACUUAAAGGAAUUGGCGGGGGAGCACUACAAGGCGUGAAGCUUGCGGUUUAAUUGGAGUCAACGCCGGG